rnacentral:rRNA from 1 species
CCUACGGGGGGCUGCAGUGGGGAAUAUUGGACAAUGGGCGAAAGCCUGAUCCAGCCAUGCCGCGUGUGUGAAGAAGGCCUUCGGGUUGUAAAGCACUUUCAGUGGGGAAGAAAGCCUUGGGGCUAAUACCCUCGAGGAAGGACAUCACCCACAGAAGAAGCACCGGCUAACUCCGUGCCAGCAGCCGCGGUAAUACGGAGGGUGCGAGCGUUAAUCGGAAUUACUGGGCGUAAAGCGCGCGUAGGCGGUUUGAUAAGCCGGUUGUGAAAGCCCCGGGCUCAACCUGGGAACGGCAUCCGGAACUGUCAGGCUAGAGUGCAGGAGAGGAAGGUAGAAUUCCCGGUGUAGCGGUGAAAUGCGUAGAGAUCGGGAGGAAUACCAGUGGCGAAGGCGGCCUUCUGGACUGACACUGACGCUGAGGUGCGAAAGCGUGGGUAGCAAACAGGAUUAGAUACCCGGGUAGUC